UGAUUUUUAAAUGGCCGCGGUAUUUUGACCGUGCAAAGGUAGCAUAAUCAUUAGUCUAUUAAUUGUUGACUUGUAUGAAUGGUUUAACGAAAUAUUGACUGUCUCGAAUUUAAUAUUUGAAUUUAAGUUUUGAGUUAAAAUGCUUAAAUUUUAUUAUGGGACGAGAAGACCCUAUAGAUCUUUAUUAUUUACUUAUUUAUUUGUUUUGGUUUAUUUUUUAAUAAAUUUUUAUGUUUUUUUGUUGGGGUGACAUGGAGAUUUGAUUAACUCUUUAUUUUUUUUUCAUUAAUUUAUGUUUAUUUGACCUUUUAUUAUUGUUAUAAGAUAUAGAUACCUUAGGGAUAACAGCGUAAUUCUUUUUGAGAGUUCAUAUUGACGAAAGAGAUUGCGACCUCGAUGUUGGAUUAAGAUUAUUAUUAGGUGGAGGUACUUAAUUAAUAGGUCUGUUCGACCUUUAAAUUCUUACAUGAUCUGAGUUCAAA
rnacentral:rRNA from 1 species